rnacentral:rRNA from 1 species
UGAGGAAUAUUGGACAAUGGGCGCAAGCCUGAUCCAGCCAUGCCGCGUGCAGGAUGACGGUCCUAUGGAUUGUAAACUGCUUUUAUACGGGAAGAAACCCUCUUUCGUGAAAGAGAUUGACGGUACCGUAAGAAUAAGGAUCGGCUAACUCCGUGCCAGCAGCCGCGGUAAUACGGAGGAUCCAAGCGUUAUCCGGAAUCAUUGGGUUUAAAGGGUCCGUAGGCGGCCUUAUAAGUCAGUGGUGAAAUCUCCCGGCUCAACCGGGAAAUUGCCAUUGAUACUGUAGGGCUUGAAUUAUUAGGAAGUAACUAGAAUAUGUAGUGUA